AUUGAACGCUGGCGGCACGCCUAACACAUGCAAGUCGAGCGGUAACAUGUUUAGUAGCAAUACUAGAUGAUGACGAGCGGCGGACGGGUGAGGAACACGUAGGGAUCUGCCUCUAAGCGGGGGACAACCAAGGGAAACUUUGGCUAAUACCGCAUAACAUCGAGAGAUCAAAGCUGCCGCAAGGUGGCACUUAGAGAGGAACCUGCGUCCGAUUAGCUAGUUGGUAGGGUAAUAGCCUACCAAGGCGAUGAUCGGUAACUGGUCUGAGAGGACGACCAGUCACACUGGGACUGAGACACGGCCCAGACUCCUACGGGAGGCAGCAGUGGGGAAUCUUGGACAAUGGGGGCAACCCUGAUCCAGCGAUGCCGCGUGAGUGAAGAAGGCCCUCGGGUCGUAAAGCUCUUUAGGUUGGGAAGAAGGUUGUAGGUGGAUAAUACUUACAACUUGACGGUACUAACAGAAUAAGCACCGGCAAACUCUGUGCCAGCCGCC
rnacentral:rRNA from 1 species